rnacentral:rRNA from 1 species
CCUACGGGUGGCAGCAGUGGGGGAUAUUGCACAAUGGGGGGAACCCUGAUGCAGCGACGCCGCGUGGGUGAAGACGCGCCUCGGCGCGUAAAGCCCUGUCAGCAGGGAAGAAAAUGACGGUACCUGAAGAAGAAGCCCCGGCUAACUACGAGCAAGCAGCCGCGGUAAUACGCAGGGGGCAAGCGUUAUCCGGAGUUACUGGGCGUAAAGGGGGCGCAGGCGGGGAUGCAAGCCAGGAGUGAAAGCCCGGGGCCCAACCCCGGGACUGCCCGUGGAACUGCGUGGCUGGAGUGCAGUAGGGGCAGGCGGAAUGCCUGGUGUAGCGGUGAAAUGCUUAGAUAUCAGGCGGAACACCGGUGGCGAAGGCAGCCUGCUGGACUGCAUCUGACGUUGAGGCCCGAAAGCGUGGGGAGCAAACAGGAUUAGAUACCCUUGAAGUC